AAACUGUGAUAAGUAAUGUGAAUUGCAGAACUCCGUGAAUCAUCAAACCUUUGAACGCAACUUGCACUUGAAGGGUCAAAUCUUCAAGUAUGCCUGUUUGAGAACCAUUCUCAUCUUCAUUUCCCUCUCUUUUCUCUGAAAAGUGUGGUGAAUGGUCGUUGGGUGUCAAUUGAGGAAAUUUCCUAGUUUCUGAGAUUGUCGCUUCAAAUAGAUAUUUUGGAAAUCGAGAUAUUUUGCCAUUCUGGGUUUAGAUCAAAGUUUGGUGAACUGAUUUAAAGUUUGUGAAAUUCUAUGAAUCUUCCUUACUUGGUAUUCAUCUACAAAUCUGUCCUAGAAAGGAAAGCUUGAUCCAAUUUGAAAAGAGGCCUAUUUGUAAGGCUCGACUGAAAUAUAAACAUGGUCUCAAAUCAGGUAAGGAUACCCACUGAACUUAA
rnacentral:misc_RNA from 1 species